GAUGAACGCUGGCGGCGUGCCUAAUACAUGCAAGUCGAGCGAACAGACGAUGAGCUUGCUCCUCUGACGUUAGCGGCGGACGGGUGAGUAACACGUGGAUAACCUACCUAUAAGACUGGUAUAACUUCGGGAAACCGGAGCUAAUACCGGAUAAUAUAUUGAACCGCAUUGUUCAAUAGUGAAAUACGGUUUUUCUUUCACUUAUAGAUUGAUCCGCGCCGCAUUAGCUAGUUGGUAAGGUAACGGCUUACCAAGGCAACGAUGCGUAGCCGACCUGAGAGGGGGAUCGGCAACACUGGAACUGAGACACGGUCCAGACUCCUACGGGAGGAAGCAGUAGGGAAUAUUCCGCAAUGGGCGAAAGCAUGACGGAGCAAAGCCGCGUGAGUGAUGAAGGUCUUCGGAUCGUAAAACUCUGUUAUUAGGGAAGAAAAAAUGUGUAAGUAAAUAUGCACGUCUUGACGGUACCUAAUCAGAAAGCCACGGCUAACUACGUG
rnacentral:rRNA from 1 species